GAAAUUUUAACGGCCGCAGUACCUUGACUGUGCAAAGGUAGCAUAAUCAUUUGACUUUUAAAUGAAGCCUGGAAUGAAAGAAAGAACGUGGACAAGUUGUCUCAUUACAUUAAUUUAAACUUGCUGUAAGAGUGAAAAUACUCUUAUUUUAAAAAAUAGACGAGAAGACCCUUAGAAUUUUUAUAAUAUACAAGUAUUAAUCUUGUAAAAUUUUUUGUUGGGGCAACAAUAUUUCAUCAAAAUAAAUAUUUUAUUUUAGUGAUAAGUCGAUUAAAUAAUUAUAGUAAAAUUACCUAAGGGAUAACAGCAUAAUUUUAGAAAUAAGCUUGUGACCUCGAUGUUGGACUAGG
rnacentral:rRNA from 1 species